rnacentral:rRNA from 1 species
CAGUCAUGUGGGCAAGUAAUCAACUUGGCAUUUUUUGCCUUGUGCACUUUCUUGUCUUUACAGGUCAACGUCAGUUUUGAUUGCCGGAUAAAAGCCAAGGGAAUGUGGCCCGCUUCGGGGGGUGUUAUAGCCCUGGUGAAUACGGUGGUCGGGACUGAGGUCUGCAGCCAAUGCUCUUAAAGGGCUGGGGAAUCGUCUACGCUCGUUUGGUGGGUUUGGUCCUUUCAGCUUGCUGAGCGGGCUAGGCUUACUAGCGAUACGAAGGGUUUUACCACAUGUUUGGCUUAGGUCGUUGACUUAAUGGUUUUAAACGACCCGUCUUGAAACACGGACCAAGGAGUCUAACAUAUGU